CCUACGGGUGGCUGCAGUUGGGAAUCUUGGACAAUGGGGGAAACCCUGAUCCAGCCAUGCCGCGUGAGUGAUGAAGGCCUUCGGGUUGUAAAACUCUUUCGCGCACGACGAUAAUGACGGUAGUGCGAGAAGAAGCUCCGGCUAACUUCGUGCCAGCAGCCGCGGUAAUACGAAGGGGGCUAGCGUUGUUCGGAAUUACUGGGCGUAAAGCGCGCGCAGGCGGCUAUCCAAGUCAGUGGUGAAAGCCCGGAGCUCAACUCCGGAACUGCCAUUGA
rnacentral:rRNA from 1 species